rnacentral:rRNA from 1 species
UACGUAGGGCGCAAGCGUUGUCCGGAAUUAUUGGGCGGAAAGAGCUCGUAGGCGGCUUGUCACGUCGGGUGUGAAAGCCCGGGGCUUAACCCCGGGUCUGCAUUCGAUACGGGCUGGCUAGAGUGUGGUAGGGGAGAUCGGAAUUCCUGGUGUAGCGGUGAAAUGCGCAGAUAUCAGGAGGAACACCGGUGGCGAAGGCGGAUCUCUGGGCCAUUACUGACGCUGAGGAGCGAAAGCGUGGGGAGCGAACAGG